GAUGAAGAACGUAGCAAAAUGCGAUAAGUAAUGUGAAUUGCAGAAUUCCGUGAAUCAUCGAAUCUUUGAACGCACAUUGCGCCCCCUGGCAUUCCGGGGGGCAUGCCUGUCCGAGCGUCAUUUCUGCCCUCCAGCCCGGCUGGGUGUUGGGCGCUGUCCCCCCGGGGACACGCCCCAAAAGCAGUGGCGGCGCCGCGUCGGGUCCUCGAGCGUAUGGGGCUUUGUCACCCGCUCGGGACGGACUCGUCGGCGCUGGUCUUCCUCCAGGCGACCCUUCGGGGCUCGUCUUCCUUCGGUUGACCUCGGAUCAGGUAGGGUUACCCGCUGAACUUAAGCAUAUCAAUAAGCGGAGGA
rnacentral:misc_RNA from 1 species